rnacentral:rRNA from 1 species
CCCUCCAGAGUGGAUCCUGAGUACGGCGGAACACGUGAAAUUCCGUCGGAAUCCGGGAGGACCAUCUCCCAAGGCUAAAUACUCCCUAGUGACCGAUAGUGAACCAGUACCGUGAGGGAAAGGUGAAAAGCACCCCGGAAGGGGAGUGAAACAGUUCCUGAAACCGUGUGCCUACAAGUAGUUAGAGCCCGUUAAUGGGUGAUAGCGUGCCUUUUGUAGAAUGAACCGGCGAGUUACGAUUUGUUGCAAGGUUAAGCGGAAAAAGCGGAGCCGUAGCGAAAGCGAGUCUGAAUAGGGCGCAUAAGUAACAGGUCGUAGACCCGAAACCAGGUGAUCUACCCAUGUCCAGGAUGAAGGUAAGGUAAUACUUACUGGAGGUCCGAACCCACGCACGUUGAAAAGUGCGGGGAUGAGGUGUGGGUAGCGGAGAAAUUCCAAUCGAACUUGGAGAUAGCUGGUUCUCUCCGAAAUAGCUUUAGGGCUAGCCUCGAGGUAAAGAGUCAUGGAGGUAGAGCACUGUUUGGACUAGGGGCCCUUCUCGGGUUACCGAAUUCAGAUAAACUCCGAAUGCCAUGUACUUAUACUCGGGAGUCAGACUGCGAGUGAUAAGAUCCGUAGUCGAAAGGGAAACAGCCCAGACCACCAGUUAAGGUCCCCAAAUAUAUGUUAAGUGGAAAAGGAUGUGGGGUUGCUUAGACAACCAGGAUGUUGGCUUAGAAGCAGCCACCAUUGAAAGAGUGCGUAAUAGCUCACUGGUCGAGUGACCCCGCGCCGAAAAUGUACCGGGGCUAAACAUAUUACCGAAACUGUGGAUGAACCUCUUUAGAGGUUCGUGGUAGGAGAGCGUUCUAAGGGCGGUGAAGUCAGACCGGAAGGACUGGUGGAGCGCUUAGAAGUGAGAAUGCCGGUAUGAGUAGCGAAAGAAGGGUGAGAAUCCCUUCCACCGAAUAUCUAAGGUUUCCUGAGGAAGGCUCGUCCGCUCAGGGUUAGUCGGGACCUAAGCCGAGGCCGAUAGGCGUAGGCGAUGGACAACAGGUAGAGAUUCCUGUACCAGUGCUAAUUGUUUAACCGAUGGGGUGACACAGAAGGAUAGGGAAUCGCACGAAUGGAAAUGUGCGUCCAAGCAGUGAGUGUGAGAAGUAGGCAAAUCCGCUUCUCGCGAAGCAUGAGCUGUGAUGGGGAAGGAAAUUAAGUACGGAAGUUCCUGAUUUCACGCUGUCAAGAAAAGCCUCUAGGAAGAGUAGUACUGCCCGUACCGCAAACCGACACAGGUAGAUGAGGAGAGAAUCCUAAGGUGAGCGAGAGAACUCUCGUUAAGGAACUCGGCAAAAUGACCCCGUAACUUCGGGAGAAGGGGUGCUCUAUUAGGGUGCAAGCCCGAGAGAGCCGCAGUGAAUAGGCCCAGGCGACUGUUUAGCAAAAACACAGGUCUCUGCAAAACCGUAAGGUGACGUAUAGGGGCUGACGCCUGCCCGGUGCUGGAAGGUUAAGAGGAGUGCUUAGCUUCGGCGAAGGUACGAAUUGAAGCCCCAGUAAACGGCGGCCGUAACUAUAACGGUCCUAAGGUAGCGAAAUUCCUUGUCGGGUAAGUUCCGACCCGCACGAAAGGCGCAACGAUCUGGGCACUGUCUCAACGAGAGACUCGGUGAAAUUAUAGUACCUGUGAAGAUGCAGGUUACCCGCGACAGGACGGAAAGACCCCGUGGAGCUUUACUGCAACCUGAUAUGGAAUGUUUGUACCGCUUGUACAGGAUAGGUAGGAGCCGAAGAGACGUGUGCGCUAGCAUACGAGGAGGCAAUGGUGGGAUACUACCCUGGCUGUAUGACCAUUCUAACCCGCCACGCUUAGCGCGUGGGGAGACAGUGUCAGGUGGGCAGUUUGACUGGGGCGGUCGCCUCCUAAAGAGUAACGGAGGCGCCCAAAGGUUCCCUCAGAAUGGAUGGAAAUCAUUCGCAGAGUGUAAAGGCACAAGGGAGCUUGACUGCGAGACUGACAAGUCGAGCAGGGACGAAAGUCGGGCUUAGUGAUCCGGUGGUUCCGCAUGGAAGGGCCAUCGCUCAACGGAUAAAAGCUACCCCGGGGAUAACAGGCUUAUCUCCCCCAAGAGUCCACAUCGACGGGGAGGUUUGGCACCUCGAUGUCGGCUCGUCGCAUCCUGGGGCUGUAGUCGGUCCCAAGGGUUGGGCUGUUCGCCCAUUAAAGCGGCACGCGAGCUGGGUUCAGAACGUCGUGAGACAGUUCGGUCCCUAUCCGUCGCGGGCGCAGGAAAUUUGAGAGGAGCUGUCCUUAGUACGAGAGGACCGGGAUGGACACACCGCUGGUGUACCAGUUGUUCCGCCAGGAGCAUCGCUGGGUAGCUAUGUGUGGCAGGGAUAAACGCUGAAAGCAUCUAAGCGUGAAGCCCCCCUCAAGAUGAGAUUUCCCAUUUCUUCGGAAAGUAAGAUCCCUGAAAGAUGAUCAGGUAGAUAGGUUUGGAGUGGAAGUGUAGCGAUACAUGGAGCGGACAAAUACUAAUCGAUCGAGGACUUAACCAAAA